rnacentral:tRNA from 1 species
UCCCUGGUGGCUCAGUGGUUAAGGGUCCGCCUUACAAUGGCGGGGACACAGGUUCAAUCCCUGGUCCGGGAA